UCGCCGCUGCAACGCCAGCCAUAGGAAUAGGCGGGAUCCACCAGCCCUCCAUCCGGCUCGACGUCCACGCCCCACGGUCCAACAUGCAGGCCUGCAGGACGCCGCCAUGAAUCGCCUCAUUUUUCGACUGCCGUUGCGACGCCACAGCGGUCGUCCUCCUCCCCGAGUAACUCCAGGAACCAUGACGGGCUCUGCUUCUCCUCUGGACCAAGGAUUCGAAGCCGCAGGUCUCUCCUACUUCUUCCAUAUUUGCAGGGUGAGAAGCUGCCACUGCCUUCUUGUGCCAUCAGGCAUUGCCACGAACAGCAGGGUGAGAAGCUGCCAUUGCCUUCUUGUGCCUUCUUUUCUUUGUCAGCGCCGGUUUUUCUCAUUCUAGCCGUUGCUGGAGACGGUUGUGGUGCUGCCACAUGAGACCAUUUUGGUCCGGGCCACAUGGUUAGGCCACAAGCUUGUUGCUGCUUACUUGGCCGCUCGCUAUUGCUCUGCUUGCUACUGCUCGUGGGCUGCCUGUACUUCAGAGAAAGAGAGCUUUUUGCUAUACAGAGUACUAUAUUAUGUUGAACCCUACUGUUCAUCAAUCCAGCAGUUUGCUUGUGUGCUUGUCUAGCUAGCUUGCACACACGUAACUUUCCUGGGUGAUUUGAUCUACCAAGUUCAGAAAUCAACAUAUUAGGCUAAGUCAAGUUGUCGCUGA